GACGAAUGCUGGCGGCGUGCUUAACACAUGCAAGUCGAACGGAAAGGCCCUGCUUUUGUGGGGUGCUCGAGUGGCGAACGGGCGAGUAACACGUGAGUAACCUGCCCUUGACUUUGGGAUAACUUCAGGAAACUGGGGCUAAUACCGGAUAGGAGCUCCUGCUGCAUGGUGGGGGUUGGAAAGUUUCGGCGGUUGGGGAUGGACUCGCGGCUUAUCAGCUUGUUGGUGGGGUAGUGGCUUACCAAGGCUUUGACGGGUAGCCGGCCUGAGAGGGUGACCGGCCACAUUGGGACUGAGAUACGGCCCAGACUCCUACGGGAGGCAGCAGUGGGGAAUAUUGCACAAUGGGCGGAAGCCUGAUGCAGCAACGCCGCGUGCGGGAUGACGGCCUUCGGGUUGUAAACCGCUUUCGCCUGUGACGAAGCGUGAGUGACGGUAAUGGGUAAAGAAGCACCGGCUAACUACGUG
rnacentral:rRNA from 1 species